GAUGAACGCUGGCGGCGUGCCUAAUACAUGCAAGUCGAGCGAACAGACGAGGAGCUUGCUCCUCUGACGUUAGCGGCGGACGGGUGAGUAACACGUGGAUAACCUACCUAUAAGACUGGGAUAACUUCGGGAAACCGGAGCUAAUACCGGAUAAUAUAUUGAACCGCAUGGUUCAAUAGUGAAAGACGGUUUUGCUGUCACUUAUAGAUGGAUCCGCGCCGCAUUAGCUAGUUGGUAAGGUAACGGCUUACCAAGGCGACGAUGCGUAGCCGACCUGAGAGGGGGAUCGGCCACACGGGAACUGAGACACGGUCCAGACUCCUACGGGAGGCAGCAGUAGGGAAUCUUCCGCAAUGGGCGAAAGCCUGACGGAGCAACGCCGCGUGAGUGAUGAAGGUCUUCGGAUCGUAAAACUCUGUUAUUAGGGAAGAACAAAUGUGUAAGUAACUAUGCACGUCUUGACGGUACCUAAUCAGAAAGCCACGGCUAACUACGU
rnacentral:rRNA from 1 species